UACGUAGGGUGCGAGCGUUGUCCGGAAUUAUUGGGCGUAAAGGGCUCGUAGGCGGUUUGUCGCGUCGGGAGUGAAAACUCAGGGCUUAACCCUGAGCCUGCUUCCGAUACGGGCAGACUAGAGGUAUGCAGGGGAGAACGGAAUUCCUGGUGUAGCGGUGAAAUGCGUAGAUAUCGGGAGGAACACCAGUGGCGAAGGCGACUACCUGGCCUGUUCUUGACGCUGAGGCGCGAAAGCUAGGGGAGCAAACGGG
rnacentral:rRNA from 1 species